rnacentral:ribozyme from 1 species
UACUAAUUCAUGUUUCUGAUACACGUAACUAAUAUUACACAAGCAUUUGUACAAGCAGCAGUUGAUUUAUGAAGUUUUUUC